CCAAAUCCCAAAGGAGAAGCUAGCUAGCAGGAAGCCCCGCUAAUGAAUUGAGGUUAGUUGGCAAAGUAACAUAUCGGAUUGUUUUUAAAAGUCAAAUUUUUAUACUGAUUGUAUUAGAUAAGUUGUAGUACUUUUAUCUAUCUCAUUUCUAUCUACUCUUAUGAAUCUGUGAGCUAGUUAACCAAUCGCCUGUACAGUAGCAGCAGCUAGUUAAGGAGUGGACCAAAGCGCAGCGUGGUAGCCUAGUGGCUAGUAACCGAAAGGUUCCUGGAUCGAAUCCCCCGAGCUGACAAGGUAAAAAUGUUGUCGUUCUGCCCUUUGAGCAAGGCACUUAACCCACUUUUCCGCGGGCGCCGAAGAUGUGGAUGUCGAUUAUGGCAUCUCCCAGCACCUCACCUCUCUGAUUCAGAGGUGGUUGGGUUAAUUGCAGAAGAUACAUUUCAGUUGAAUGCAUUCAGUUGUACAACUGACUAGGUAUCGUUCUUUCCCUUACCGAUGCUGCAGCUGUUGUUCCACUGUACUGUUUGACUGAAGCGUGCGUGUGUGUGCGUACUGCCUCCUGCUGGUGUGAUGGAGAGGUGACGUGUUAGCGUGUCCCUGAUCUAAUGACCGUACAGACAAAUCCAUCGAUCACUUGAAACCAUUCAUUCCUAUUGUGAAGACUCAAUAGCGCAUUGAAGCCAAUUUAAGUCAUUAAGAUGGCACAUACACAGCUUUGAGCUGCUUCAGUAAAUGACAUUGCAGGUUAGCUCAGUGCUGCCCCCGUCUAAAUGAGUAACUCAAGUUGAAGGUCGACCGGGAUACAUACAGGCUGUCUUUAGCAACUCAAUUAUCCUUAACUUCUUUUGUGUGGAAUUUGAAAAUAGUCUGUUCAAGAAUAUACAUCUGGCGUACUAGAAGCAGGGAUGUGACAAAUUAACCGUUUUUGCUUAUUAAUGUUUAAUCCGGAAAAUAAUAACAAAAAAAAUUAACGGAACAGAAUUAGAACCGGGAACGGAAGUGAUAUAUACUGUUCCGGAACAGAACUGUUAUUUUAAAAGCAUGGGAACCGGUUAAUAACCCACAAAAUAUGCAACAAAGUGCCUGCGCAAAACCCUUCCAUCUGUCAAUCAGAACCUUUUUCCAGUGUCUGCUUGCAAGCUGAAAGUCUUUACCUGUGUGUAUGUAGUCUACCUGAACUUUUCAAAGCGCUGGUAGUGUGUUCAGAUUUAUAACACCUGAAGCAUGCUCAGAAGAUACAAAUACAAGACUACUUACCGAGCUGGUGCAUGUGUUUACCUGGUUCUGAGCAUGUUUCAGGUGAUAGAAAUCAGAACGCACAACCAGCGCUUUGAAAAGUUAAUGUUAUUAUACUUUCCUGUGGAUAUAUUGUGUCAAAUUCCCACCGCCAAAAAAAAGGACCAACUACACGGACAACCGGUAAAGUAAAGUUAAAAUAUAAUUGUGCACGGGUUCACUUCACGCUGUUCACAGCGUGGUAGCCAAGACUUCAAAACAGCAAGGCCUCGUGUUUCAACGCUCCUAAACCCACUAUGCUGGUUACUUUCUGCAUCUAUGUUAACAAUUGUUCUUAAAAAAAACGAAAUUGUGUUCCUUAACAUUAACAUUCACACACUUCACACCCCUAAUUAGAAGCUAUUAUUGGCACCAUGAUUGUUUUCCAAACAUGUUUUUAUUUACACGAAGGUUGACUACGAAGAUUGCCAUUUUUCCAUUGAUUAUAAUUGGGGGGGGGUCCUGCUUUCUGCAAAUAAUGUAUGCAGUACUGCGGUGGGCCUUGAACUUCUGUGGCUUCAAUAAGAGGGGGCAGUCGUUCUCCCCUGUCCUGGCUGUCUUGUGUGUGUGUGUGUGUGUACUGCCCCCUGCAGGUCUAAUGGGGAGGUGACGUAUCCCUGACCAGAGGAGAGAAAAGACCCAGGACUCUUGUGUCCAGAACAGUGCCCAAUGCAGAGAGACCUAGCCCAGCCAUGACCGAAUGCUUCCUGCCCCCCAGUAGCAGCCCG
rnacentral:lncRNA from 1 species